rnacentral:rRNA from 1 species
CCUACGGGUGGCUGCAGUGGGGAAUAUUGGACAAUGGGCGAAAGCCUGAUCCAGCCAUGCCGCGUGUGUGAAGAAGGCCUUCGGGUUGUAAAGCACUUUCAGUGGGGAAGAAAGCCUUGGGGCUAAUACCCUCGAGGAAGGACAUCACCCACAGAAGAAGCACCGGCUAACUCCGUGCCAGCAGCCGCGGUAAUACGGAGGGUGCGAGCGUUAAUCGUAAUUACUGGGCGUAAAGCGCGCGUAGGCGGUCUGAUAAGCCGGUUGUGAAAGCCCCGGGCUCAACCUGGGAACGGCAUCCGGAACUGUCAGGCUAGAGUGCAGGAGAGGAAGGUAGAAUUCCCGGUGUAGCGGUGAAAUGCGUAGAGAUCGGGAGGAAUACCAGUGGCGAAGGCGGCCUUCUGGACUGACACUGACGCUGAGGUGCGAAAGCGUGGGUAGCAAACAGGAUUAGAUACCCCGGUAGUC